CCAAAAGCUGGCGACCGGCGCACGGGUGAGUAACACGUAUCCAACCUGCCUCAUACUCGGGGAUAGCCUUUCGAAAGAAAGAUUAAUAUCCGAUAGCAUAUAUUUCCCGCAUGGGUUUUAUAUUAAAGAAAUUCGGUAUGAGAUGGGGAUGCGUUCCAUUAGUUUGUUGGGGGGUAACGGCCCACCAAGACUAUGAUGGAUAGGGGUUCUGAGAGGAAGGUCCCCCACAUUGGAACUGAGACACGGUCCAA
rnacentral:rRNA from 1 species